rnacentral:rRNA from 1 species
UACGUAGGGGGCAAGCGUUAUCCGGAUUUACUGGGUGUAAAGGGAGCGUAGACGGCUGUGCAAGCCAGAUGUGAAAGCCCGGGGCUCAACCCCGGGACUGCAUUUGGAACUGUGUGGCUGGAGUGUCGGAGAGGCAGGCGGAAUUCCUAGUGUAGCGGUGAAAUGCGUAGAUAUUAGGAGGAACACCAGUGGCGAAGGCGGCCUGCCGGACGAUGACUGACGUUGAGGCUCGAAAGCGUGGGGAGCAAACAGG